GAUGAAGAACGCAGCGAAAUGCGAUACGUAAUGUGAAUUGCAGAUUUCAGUGAAUCAUCGAAUCUUUGAACGCACAUUGCGCCCGCUAUUAUUCUGGCGGGCAUGCCUGUUCGAGCGUCAUUUCAACCAUCAAGCCCUAGGCUUGCGUUGGAGCCCUGCGGCUGCCGCAGGCUCCCAAAUCCAGUGGCGGGCUCGUCGUCGUACCGAGUGCAGUAAACAUCCUCGCUCAGGGAACGUGACGGGUUCUUGCCGUGAAACCCCCCACAUAUCAAGGUUGACCUCGGAUCAGGUAGGAAUACCCGCUGAACUUAAGCAUAUCAAUAAGCGGAGGA
rnacentral:misc_RNA from 1 species